UCCCAGUAGGAAAUUUGCUCACCAAUGAAAAUUUUGUGUGAAAUCGCCAAGGAAAUCAGCUACUCGAAUCAUUGAGGAAUAGCAUGCAAUGAAAUCCUUACUGAAAGGCAUUGCGUUUUUCCUAUGAUUAUACAAUCCACCCUAUCUUUUUCCUUGUAAAAUAUUUCAUUCCCGAUAUGAAGCACGAGAUGGGUAUUUUGUUUUUGUUUAUAUUUGCCUUUUUCUUCUCUACCUGCCACUGAAUAAUACGGAGAUUGGCUUCAGUUUUAGAAUUUCAAUGCUCGGGUUUUUUACAUACAAUAAAAAAUUGCCGUUCCCGUUCGUCAGCCUGGUUUGCUUCGAGAAACAAAGUUAUUUCCAACAACAACGACCGACGGUGAUGGCGACGCAUGGUUGAAGGAUUGCAAUGUUCGGGUUUUUUACAUAUCAUAAAACUUCGAUUCGCGAUCCUCAGCCUGGUUUGCUUAGAAACAAAGUUAUUUCCAACAACAACGCACAGUGUUCGGGGUAAGUGAUUUGUUUUGAAAGCAUUGUUGUUUUUUCGAGAAACUGUUUAUCAGUUGAAUUCCAUUGUUCAUAGUGUCAACAAGUGAGUAAAGCUUAAAAUUAUUAAAUAGAAAAUAAAUUAUAAGCGUAAAAAAGUGAAUAUUUAGGAAAUUGGUAGGUAAUUGUGUUCAAAUGGACAAGGAAAAUAUUCAGGCUUCCGGAUCAAAACAGUCGGCAAUGGACUUCAUUGAAUUUUCACCCUCAAAGCAGCCAAGGCGGAUUUUUAAGAAAACGAAUCAACAAGAUAUGAUAGACGAAAUGAGAGCGGACAUUAAACGUUUGUGUGUUACCACGGAGCAGCUAAAAAAUGGGAUCUGCACAUUGGCAGCAUUUUUUUCAAUAAAAUCAUAAAAAUUUA